rnacentral:lncRNA from 1 species
AUUCUGUUACAUCUUUAUUAAACAAAUUUUACAUAUUUUGUCUCUUUGAUGGUCUGUGGGUCAGUGGUUCUAGCUUAGCCGGGUAGAGGUAACUACAUGUGCAUACUACGUGUAUCAGUAUAAACAUUCAGCUACACAGGACUGUUAUACAUCAAGCUACUAACACACAUCCAGUCCCUAAACAAUUCAAUAAAAACAUUCAGGCCCUUGAUCACAGUUCA